rnacentral:rRNA from 1 species
AGACGAACCGGGCGAACGUUAUUCGGAAUCACUGGGCUUAAAGCGUGCGUAGGCGGCUUGGCAAGUUGGGUGUGAAAGCCCUCGGCUCAACCGAGGAACUGCGCCCAAAACUGCCAGGCUUGAGGGAGAUAGAGGUGAGUGGAACUAAUGGUGGAGCGGUGAAAUGCUUUGAUAUCAUUAGGAACACCGGUGGCGAAAGCGGCUCACUGGGUCUCUUCUGACGCUGAGGCACGAAAGCUAGGGGAGCGAACGGGAUUAGAUACCCCAGUAGUCC